CGGGACGUAGCGCAGCUUGGUAGCGCACUUGACUGGGGGUCAAGGGGUCGUGGGUUCGAAUCCCGCCGUCCCGACCG
rnacentral:tRNA from 2 species